rnacentral:rRNA from 1 species
ACGUCCUGACGGGAGGCAGCAGGUAGGGAAUAUUGCACGAAUGGGCAGCAAGCCUGAUGCAGCCAUGCCGCGUGAUGUAGCAAGAAUGGGCCUUCGGGUUGAUGAAAGCACUUUUCAGUCGUGAGGAAGGUAGUGUAGUUAAUAGCUGCAUUAUUUGACGUUAGCGACAGAAGAAGCACCGGCUAACUCCGUGCCAGCAGCCGCGGUAAUACGGAGGGUGCGAGCGUUAAUCGGAAUUACUGGGGCGUAAAGCGCAUGCAGGUGGUUUGUUAAGUCAGAUGUGAAAG